rnacentral:rRNA from 1 species
GGGUAGUCCUAGCCGUAAACGAUGCCCACUAGGUGUGGGGGGUUAUCCCUCCGUGCUGCAGCUAACGCGUUAAGUGGGCCGCCUGGGGAGUACGCCCGCAAGGGUGAAACUCAAAGGAAUUGACGGGACCCCGCACAAGCGGUGGAGCGUGUGGUUUAAUUGGAUGCUAAGCCAAGAACCUUACCAGGGUUUGACAUACAGGUGGUACCAACCCGAAAGGGAAGGGACCCCUUCCUUUUGGAAGGGGAGCCUGUACAGGUGGUGCACGGCCGUCGUCAGCUCGUGCCGUGAGGUGUUGGGUUAAGUCCCGCAACGAGCGCAACCCCUGUCCUUAGUUGCCAGCGGUUUGGCCGGGCACUCUAAGGAGACCGCCGGCGACGAGCCGGAGGAAGGAGGGGAUGGACGUCAGGUACUCGUGCCCUUUAUGCCCUGGGCUACACACGCGCUACAAUGGACGGUACAAUGGGGUUGCGACCUCGCGAGAGGGAAGGCUAAUCCCCAAAAACCGUCCUCAGUUCGGGAUCGCAGGGCUGCAACCCGCUGCGUGAAGCCGGAAUCGCUAGUAA